rnacentral:rRNA from 1 species
UACGAAGGGAGCUAGCGUUGUUCGGAAUCACUGGGCGUAAAGCGCACGUAGGCGGCUUUGUAAGUUAGAGGUGAAAGCCCGGAGCUCAACUCCGGAACUGCCUUUAAGACUGCAUCGCUAGAACGUUGGAGAGGUAAGUGGAAUUCCGAGUGUAGAGGUGAAAUUCGUAGAUAUUCGGAAGAACACCAGUGGCGAAGGCGACUUACUGGACAACUGUUGACCGCUGAGGUGGCGAAAGCGUGGGGAGCAAACAGG